rnacentral:rRNA from 1 species
UACAGAGGUCUCAAGCGUUGUUCGGAUUCAUUGGGCGUAAAGGGUGUGUAGGUGGCGCCGUAAGUCGGGUGUGAAAUCUUGGAGCUUAACUCCGAAACUGCAUUCGAUACUGCCGUGCUUGAGGACUGGAGAGGAGACUGGAAUUUACGGUGUAGCAGUGAAAUGCGUAGAGAUCGUAAGGAAGACCAGUGGCGAAGGCGGGUCUCUGGACAGUUCCUGACACUGAGGCACGAAGGCCAGGGGAGCAAACGGG